ensembl:lncRNA
GAAAUGGCAGUCCGUCAGACCAGCCAUCAACUGUCCAGUUUUGGUGAGCUUGAGCCCUUUGCAAAGUCAGACUUUUCUUCUUGACUGACAGGAGUGGUCUUCGGCUGCUUUAGCCCAUCUGCCUUAAGAAUGAGCCAGGUCCCAGCAGAGACGCUUCUUACAACAGAGGGGACUCCCAAACCUAAUAUCCACAACACAGAGGCUCCUGCUAUAAAGACACAUCUUUUGAAAUGGGAAAAAAAGAGGUAAAAAAAGAAGAAAAGGAAGGAUCAGUUGGCAUCUCUCACUUUGACUACAAAAGAGUGAAUGAGGGAAAAACUUCAUUAUAUUGGCGAGUGACAGGAAAUGUGAAACACAGUGACAGAGGAAGAGAAUGAGGACCUUUUUUCCCUCCCCACCUCAGUUUCAUGUCUCUCUCGCUGCAAAACAGAAAAAAAGAAACUCUGUGGACCAUACGAUCUACAACACACACACAUGCACUGACCCCAUAUCUCCCAUGAACAGUGCCACCGACCAUCAACUGUCAUUUUUAUUCAGCGUCGGACUCACUCCGUAAUCACCCUGACAGACAAUGCACUGCCA